AAAUCUAUUUAAAAAAAAGGAAAUAAAUCUAAUAAAAAAUGGAAAAUCCAGGACACAAGCUAGAUCAUAUGGGAUGCUGUUGGGACCACAGGCAUAAUCCAAGACUCUCCUAUGCAAACCAGAAAGGUUCUAGAGAAACAAAUGUAUGAUUAUCCCACCUUUCGAUAGUCAAGGGGAGAGAGUCGUGCAUGCAGUUAGAUAAGUGAGACUUGGGUUCCUGAUGUGUCUGUUCUGGAACACAUUAGGUAAAAUCUACACAUUUGGGAAUCAUCAGUAUGUAGAUUGUAUUGAAACCAUGAGAUUGGAUGGGGUUGCCAAUGGGAAUAAGAAAGGGGAGAGGCCCAAGGACUAUGCCUGGGCACUCCAAUCGUGGGAAAGGGGAGAAGUGGAGGGGCCAGCAACAGAGACUGGAAGUUGAAACUCAAGUUGCAGAAUGCCACUUCUUGGGUUGCACAGAGCACUCAGAAUAUUGCCUCAGGGUUUGCGCUAUGCUAGGAGAUUUUACACCCUCAUGGGACUCCUGAAGAAGAAGUCCAUAGGUCUGGGCACAGAACACAAACCCUAACGCAGGGAAGCAGGUCUGGAUCACAGACUGCUGCAUCCUAGAGGAUGACUGGCUAGUGGCUGCGGCUGGCCACCAGCCCCAUUCUCUCUCUCUCUGCACUGCUGCCACCAUGUUGUCCAGGCCGUGACUGAGCAAGGACUGAAGGACUUCUCCAGAGCUGUGGGGCUGCUUUUCAGUCUCUGCAAAAUGCAAGUAUUUGGCUGCCUUGCUCUUACCGCCAAGGGUGUAGGUCUCCUGGCCUUGCACUGUCACACCUGUGGACCCUGAGCACCAGGAGAGUCCCCAGGCUUUCUGAGGCCUGCCUGGUCAGGAGCCUGGAGAACUUAAUGAGAAAUUACCACACUUAAUGCUGCUGGUCACAAUAUGCUUCAUCUUGAGCACUGAAUUGUUCUUGCCUUGAACACUGCUCAGAAUGAAGUAAUGAGAGAAGGACAAUACUGUGUUUCUUUUUCUUUUAAUCAAAACGUCAUGUCUUGAAAAGAAUUCCCCAUUGAGAGUUGACGGUCUGCUCUUAGCUUGCUUGAUGAUGUAUUCAGAUAUGUUUGGGGAAGUCUUUCACAAGCUCAAAAUUCUUAGUCUCUCUUUGCUCAAAACAGCAAACUGACAUAAUAACAAAAGCUUAAUCUUAUUUAAUUUCUAGAUGUUCACUUCUAAUCCACAAAGAGCUCCCAAAUUAGCACUACCUGUGCCAUAUUGGGUUACUUGAUAUCCUGAAUGAGAGGAUGGAUGUUGUACAAAGCCAGAGCCUAUCACGUAAAUGAUAUGAGGCUAGUUUAAGAAAUGCCAUAUCACUAUCAUUUUUGAGGUUCCUUAGUUAAUCUAAGUACAAUAUGGGAUAAGUACCUCUAUGACUCUCUGAUUUAUAUAUUUUAGUAUAUUGGGAAUGCUAUAGAUUCUAACACUAAAAUAGAUAUACCAGAUCACAGAUUUGGAGCCCAGGCCCAAAAGGUCUUGGGGCUCUGGGUGUUGAUGUGUCAAUUUAAAUUUUGUGAGUCAAGUCUUAUUUGGGGGGCUUCUUAUAUUUAAGAACUUUGCUUAGAAUUAUUUUAAAAUGAAUAGCUACUUCCUCAUUUGCCCUCUGUUUAAGUUUGACUUUCUCUUAUCUAAGGUUUCCUUGAAGUGUGGGUCAUCUGAGUGUAUGAGAAAAUCACUUAGCAUAACAUGAUGUCCUGGACAGGAUCUCUCCUGUGAUUUUACAUCUUCUUUUGUCCUGGAAAGUUGAAGGCCCUUUAUGAUAUUCUCUAAAUGUCAAGCCUUUUGGUAAGUUUUUAAGAAAGUUGCCAUGGAGGAAGGGCAGCUCUCUUUGCUUUUGAAACUGUAGACUUUGUGGUCCAGAGUCCAAGGUUUGAAAAG